rnacentral:rRNA from 1 species
UACGGGGGGGGCAAGCGUUGUUCGGAAUUACUGGGCGUAAAGGGCUCGUAGGCGGCCAACUAAGUCAGACGUGAAAUCCCUCGGCUUAACCGGGGAACUGCGUCUGAUACUGGACGGCUUGAAUCCGGGAGAGGGAUGCGGAAUUCCAGGUGUAGCGGUGAAAUGCGUAGAUAUCUGGAGGAACACCGGUGGCGAAGGCGGCAUCCUGGACCGGCACUGACACUGAGGCACGAAAGCGUGGGGAGCAAACAGG